GCCCAGCUAGCUCAGUCGGUAGAGCACGAGACUCUUAAUCUUGGGAUCGUGGGUUCGAGCCCCACUUUAGGCG
rnacentral:tRNA from 1 species